rnacentral:rRNA from 1 species
CAGUCGUACCUGCGGAUAAUCAGCCUUUCGGGUGCGAUUCUGUGAGGCGUGAGGAGCUUAACCGCCUUCAUGUUUUGCAUAUUCGUGCGCAUUUGGUGUACUUGUCCGUGUGGUGGGUUAACAUCAAUUUCGGCCGUCAUAAAAUGAUUGAAGGAAUGUAGCUUCGAUCUCGUAUUGAAGUG